GACAGAGGAUGCAAGCGUUAUCCGGAAUGAUUGGGCGUAAAGCGUCUGUAGGUGGCUUUUUAAGUCCGCCGUCAAAUCCCAGGGCUCAACCCUGGACAGGCGGUGGAAACUACCAAGCUGGAGUACGGUAGGGGCAGAGGGAAUUUCCGGUGGAGCGGGUGAAAGUGCGUGAGAGAGUCGGAAAGAACACCAACGGCGAAAGCACUCUGGCUGGGCCGACACUGACACUGAGAGACGAAAGCUAGGGGAGCGAAUGGG
rnacentral:rRNA from 1 species